GUCCGGUGCCUUUGUCGGUUGCACCGGCAUUGGUCGUCCUGGCACCCCGCUUUCUCUCUCAGUUCUGUCUCUUAGUGUGUCUUUUUCUCAGGCCUGUGUCGCACACUGGGCAGGUGGGACUGGAACCUGAUGACAGGAGAACGCCUCUAACAUUGAUCUGGCCUCAAGUACAGUGACGGUGACCAGAAACAGGAUUUGAAGGAGUCAAACCCCUGUAACCGUCCCAUAGACAUCCAGCCAUGAACUUUUGAGCGGCCGUCAGUAUCACUAUUUCUAUCACAGAAUCAGACUUUGAAUAAAACAGAUCAUCUCUGUAACAUGGAUGAGCCUCACGCAAUCAGCUGAAAGCCUGAAGAGAA